rnacentral:rRNA from 1 species
UCAGGCCUAACACAUGCAAGUCGAACGGGUGUAGCAAUACAUCAGUGGCAGACGGGUGAGUAACACGUGGGAACCUUCCUAGGGGUACGGAACAACUCAGGGAAACUUGAGCUAAUACCGUAUACGUCCGUGAGGAGAAAGAUUUAUCGCCCUUAGACGGGCCCGCGUCGGAUUAGCUAGUUGGUGGGGUAACGGCCUACCAAGGCGACGAUCCGUAGCUGAUCUUAGAGGAUGAUCAGCCACACUGGGACUGAGACACGGCCCAGACUCCUACGGGAGGCAGCAGUGGGGAAUCUUGGACGAUGGGCGCAAGCCUGAUCCAGCCAUGCCGCGGAUGAAAGAAGGUCUUCGGAUGUAAAGCUCUUUGCCAGGGACG